GACGAACGCUGGCGGCGUGCUUAACACAUGCAAGUCGAACGGAAAGGCCUGCUUUCCCUUGUGGAUUGCGGGUACUCGAGUGGCGAACGGGUGAGUAACACGUGAGUGAUCUGCCCCCAACUUGGGUAUAAGCCUGGGAAACUGGGUCUAAUUCCCGAUAGGACUGCAGGGUGGUGCCUGUGGUGGAAAACGAUUUUCUAGUGGUUGGGGAUGAGCUCGCGGCCUAUCAGCUUGUUGGUGGGGUAAUGGCCUACCAAGGCGGCGACGGGUAGCCGGCCUGAGAGGGUGGACGGCCACAUUGGGACUGAGAUACGGCCCAGACUCCUACGGGAGGCAGCAGUGGGGAAUAAUGCACAAUGGGCGGAAGCCUGAUGCAGCGACGCCGCGUGGGGGAUGACGGCCUUCGGGUUGUAAACUCCUUUCGACCGCGAGGAAGCCACCUGGUUGGAAGGGUGGUGACGGUAGUGGUAGAAGAAGCACCGGCUAACUACGUG
rnacentral:rRNA from 1 species